rnacentral:rRNA from 1 species
GGCUGUCGUCAGCUCGUGUUGUGAAAUGUUGGGUUAAGUCCCCGCAACGAGCGCAACCCCUAUCCUUAUUUGCCAGCGCGUUAUGGCGGGAACUCUAAGGAGACUGCCGGUGAUAAACCGGAGGAAGGUGGGGACGACGUCAAGUCAUCAUGGCCCUUACGGGAUGGGCUACACACGUGCUACAAUGGCAAGUACAGAGGGCAGCAAUACCGCGAGGUGGAGCGAAUCCCACAAAGCUUGUCGUAGUCCGGAUUGGAGUCUGCAACUCGACUCCAUGAAGUCGGAAUCGCUAGUAAUCGUGGAUCAGAAUGCCACGGUGAAUACGUUCCCGGGCCUUGUACACACCGCCCGUC